rnacentral:rRNA from 1 species
AACGAACGCUGGCGGCAGGCUUAACGCAUGCAAGUCGAGCGCCCCGCAAGGGGAGCGGCAGACGGGUGAGUAACGCGUGGGAACGUACCUUUUGGUUCGGAACAACUCCGGGAAACUGGAGCUAAUACCGGAUAAGCCCUAACGGGGAAAGAUUUAUCGCCGAAAGAUCGGCCCGCGUCUGAUUAGCUAGUUGGUGAGGUAACGGCUCACCAAGGCGACGAUCAGUAGCUGGUCUGAGAGGAUGAUCAGCCACACUGGGACUGAGACACGGCCCAGACUCCUACGGGAGGCAGCAGUGGGGAAUAUUGGACAAUGGGCGCAAGCCUGAUCCAGCCAUGCCGCGUGAGUGACGAAGGCCUUAGGGUUGUAAAGCUCUUUUGUCCGGGAAGAUAAUGACUGUACCGGAAGAAUAAGCCCCGGCUAACUUCGUG